UACGUAGGCAGCGAGCGUUGUUCGGAAUUACUGGGCGUAAAGAGUGCGUAGGCGGUCCUCUAAGUUUGGUGUGAAAUCUCCCGGCUCAACCGGGAGGGUGCGCCGAAAACUGGAGGGCUCGAGUGUGGGAGAGGUAAGCGGAAUUCCUGGUGUAGCGGUGAAAUGCGUAGAUAUCAGGAGGAACACCUGUGGUGUAGACGGCUUACUGGACCAUUACUGACGCUGAGGCACGAAAGCGUGGGUAGCAAACAGG
rnacentral:rRNA from 1 species